rnacentral:rRNA from 1 species
AGUGAACGCUGGCGGUAGGCCUAACACAUGCAAGUCGAACGGCAGCACAGUAAGAGCUUGCUCUUACGGGUGGCGAGUGGCGGACGGGUGAGGAAUACAUCGGAAUCUACUUUUUCGUGGGGGAUAACGUAGGGAAACUUACGCUAAUACCGCAUACGACCUACGGGUGAAAGCAGGGGAUCUUCGGACCUUGCGCGAUUGAAUGAGCCGAUGUCGGAUUAGCUAGUUGGCGUGGUAAAGGCCCACCAAGGCGACGAUCCGUAGCUGGUCUGAGAGGAUGAUCAGCCACACUGGAACUGAGACACGGUCCAGACUCCUACGGGAGGCAGCAGUGGGGAAUAUUGGACAAUGGGCGCAAGCCUGAUCCAGCCAUACCGCGUGGGUGAAGAAGGCCUUCGGGUUGUAAAGCCCUUUUGUUGGGAAAGAAAAGCAGCAGGUGAAUACCCCGCUGUUCUGACGGUACCCAAAGAAUAAGCACCGGCUAACUUCGUG